rnacentral:rRNA from 1 species
CCUGGCUCAGGAUGAACGUUGGCGGCGUGCUUAACACAUGCAAGUCGAACGUGAAGCUGAACAAAGUUCCAUCGUGUUCUUUGUUUUGUGGAAAGUGGCGAACGGGUGAGUAACACGUGGAUGACCUGCCUCGGAGUGGGGGAUAACCAUUGGAAACGAUGGCUAAUACCGCAUGGUCCUACCGGUAUGGGAAUGCCGAUAGGUAAAACUCCGGUGCUCUGAGAGGGGUCCGCGUCCGAUUAGCUAGUUGGAGGGGUAAUGGCCCACCAAGGCGAUGAUCGGUAGCUGGUCUGAGAGGACGAUCAGCCACAUGGGAACUGAGACACGGUCCCAACUCCUACGGGGGGCAGCAGUGAGGAAUAUUGCACAAUGGGGGAAACCCUGAUGCAGCAACGCCGCGUGGAGGAUGACAGCCUUAUAGGUUUUAAACUCCUUUUCUGAGGGAAGAGAAAGGACGGUACCUCAGGAAUAAGUCACGGCUAACUACGUGCCAGCAGCCGCGGUAACACGUAGGUGACGAACGUUAUCCGGAAUUACUGGGCGUAAAGGGCACGCAGGCGGUUGGCCAAGUCCGACGUGAAAUUUCUCGGCUUAACUGGGAGGCGUCGUUGGAAACUGGCUAACUUGAGGCAAUGAGAGGGGUGUAGAAUUCAUGGUGUAGUGGUGGAAUGCGUAGAUAUCAUGAGGAAUACCAGUGGCGAAAGCGGCACCCUGGCAUUGUCCUGACGCUCAUGUGCGAAAGCGUGGGUAGCGAACGGGAUUAGAUACCCCGGUAGUCCACGCUGUAAACGAUGAACACUAGGUGUAGGUGAAUUAAAUUUAUCUGUGCCGCAGCAAACGCGAUAAGUGUUCCGCCUGGGGACUACGGCCGCAAGGCUAAAACUCAAAGGAAUUGACGGGGACCCGCACAAGCAGCGGAGCGUGUGGUUUAAUUCGAUGCAACGCGAAGAACCUUACCUGGGCUUGACAUAAGCGUAGUAGUGAACCGAAAGGGGAACGAGCCUCGGCAGCGCUUACAGGUGCUGCAUGGCCGUCGUCAGCUCGUGUCGUGAGAUGUUGGGUUAAGUCCCGCAACGAGCGCAACCCUCGUCGUUAGUUACAAGUGUCUAGCGAGACUGCCGGUAUCAAACCGGAGGAAGGUGAGGACGACGUCAAGUCAGCAUGGCCUUUAUGUCCAGGGCUACACACACGCUACAAUGGGCGGUACAAAGGGCAGCGAAACCGCGAGGUGGGGCGAAUCUCAUCAAAGCCGUUCGUACUUCGGAUUGCAGGCUGCAACUCGCCUGCAUGAAGCUGGAGUUGCUAGUAAACGUAGGUCAGCCAUACUACGUUGAAUACGUUCCCGGGUCUUGUACACACCGCCCGUCACGUCAUGGAAGUUGGUAACACCUAAAGUCGGUUUACUCAACCGCAAGGAGAGGGCUGCCUAGGGUGGGACUGAUGACUGGGACGAAGUCGUAACA